CUAGACUUUAGUUUUAUCUUUUGCUUUGUAUCUUUGUUGUUUUUCUUUACUUUUGUACUUAACUCUUUUUUGUAAUAAAGUGAUCUUUUUUUUGUGCUCAAUUUUGGCUCAUGCUUGUUUGCAUAUCUUCCUUUUUUGCCUGUUUAUUUCUGUGAAAUGACUAAGCAAAAUAGUCGGUAAGACUAAGUAAACUAGUCGGUAGGAAGUUGCAAAUCCAUAACUG
rnacentral:lncRNA from 1 species